AUUGAACGCUGGCGGCAGGCUUAACACAUGCAAGUCGAACGAUGACUCUCUAGCUUGCUAGGGAUGAUUAGUGGCGGACGGGUGAGUAACAUUUAGGAAUCUGCCUAGUAGUGGGGGAUAGCUCGGCGAAACUCGAAUUAAUACCGCAUACGACCUACGGGUGAAAGGGGGCGCAAGCUCUUGCUAUUAGAUGAGCCUAAAUCAGAUUAGCUAGUUGGUGGGGUAAAGGCCCACCAAGGCGACGAUCUGUAACUGGUCUGAGAGGAUGAUCAGUCACACCGGAACUGAGACACGGUCCGGACUCCUACGGGAGGCAGCAGUGGGGAAUAUUGGACAAUGGGGGCAACCCUGAUCCAGCCAUGCCGCGUGUGUGAAGAAGGCCUUUUGGUUGUAAAGCACUUUAAGCAGGGAGGAGAGGCUAAUGGUUAAUACCCAUUAGAUUAGACGUUACCUGCAGAAUAAGCACCGGCUAACUCUGUG
rnacentral:rRNA from 1 species